GUCUGAGGCCAUCCCACCCUGCACCUGCCCUAUCUCAUCUGAUCUCAGAAGCAGAGUCAGGCCUGGUUAGUACUUGGAUGGGAGAAACUUUUUUUAAGUUAUUUUAGGGCAUCAGAUG
rnacentral:rRNA from 1 species